rnacentral:rRNA from 1 species
UACGUAGGGUGCGAGCGUUGUCCGGAAUUAUUGGGCGUAAAGGGCGCGCAGGCGGCUCUGAAAGUCAGAUGUGAAAGCCCCGGGCUUAACCUGGGAACUGCAUUUGAUACUCUAGAGCUUGAGUACGGGAGAGGAGAGUGGAAUUCCCAGUGUAGAGGUGAAAUUCGUAGAUAUUGGGAAGAACACCGGUGGCGAAGGCGGCUCUCUGGACCGUAACUGACGCUGAGGCGCGAAAGCGUGGGGAGCAAACAGG